CGGGUUAGUGGCGGACGGGUGAGUAACGCGUGAGAAUCUGCCCUCAGGAGGGGGACAACAGCUGGAAACGGCUGCUAAUACCCCAUAUGCCGCGAGGUGAAAUGAAUUUCGCCUGAGGAUGAGCUCGCGUCUGAUUAGCUAGUUGGUGUAGGUAAUGGCUCACCAAGGCAUCGAUCAGUAGCUGGUCUGAGAGGAUGAUCAGCCACACUGGGACUGAGACACGGCCCAGACUCCUACGGGAGGCAGCAGUGGGGAGUCUUGGACAAUGGGCGCAAGCCUGAUCCAGCCAUUCCGCGUGGAUGAUGAAGGCCCUAGGGUUGUAAAAUCCUUUCGGCAGGGAAGAUAAUGACGGUACCUGCUAAAGAAACCCCGGCUAACUCCGUGCCAGCAGCCGCGGUAAUACGGAGGGGGUUAGCGUUGUUCGGAAUUACUGGGCGUAAAGCGCACGUAGGCGGAUUAGAAAGUUAGAGGUGAAAUCCCGGGGCUCAACCCCGGAACUGCCUUUAAAACUACUAGUCUAGAGUUCGAGAGAGGUGAGUGGAAUUCCGAGUGUAGAGGUGAAAUUCGUAGAUAUUCGGAGGAACACCAGUGGCGAAGGCGGCUCACUGGCUCGAUACUGACGCUGAGGUGCGAGAGUGUGGGGAGCAAACAGGAUUAGAUACCCUGGUAGUCCACACCGUAAACGAUGAAUGCCAGUCGUCGGAUAGUAUACUAUAUCGGUGACA
rnacentral:rRNA from 1 species